rnacentral:lncRNA from 1 species
UUGGCACACACCUGAGCUGCCCAAUCUGAAAUUAAGGGAAGAAAAAGGGAAAUGUGCAGCUUGACUCACCGAUAAUCUAUCGUGAUGGGAGUUGCUCCCAAGGCAAUGGUGUGUUUUCAGGCACUAACGGCCUACUUAGUCAUGGAAAGAAAAUGCAGCCCCACAUCUUCUAAAGGAGGGGAUACUUUAUAACUUUCUACCUUAAAGUGGAUGCUAAAGGCCAAUGUGUGACCAAGAACAAAUCAUGAGGUGGUUCCAAUGAGACUCAAGGAAAACGUUCAGAAUGCAGACGAAAUAAACUUGGAGUUUGGAAUGGAU